rnacentral:rRNA from 1 species
AGGUGUCUAUAGCAAAGGGGAUCCACCUCUUCCCAUUCCGAACAGAGAAGUUAAGCCCUUUCACGCCGAUGGUACUGCCUAAAGGUGGGAGAGUAGGUAGGCGCCGAAUU